AACCAUAGAAACCUGCGGAGUACCUGCGGAGGGAUCAUUAUAGUAUAUGGAAUCUCCAUUCUAUAAACCCACUCUGCGUAUCUUGUAACUGUUGCUUCCAUGGGACUUGGUUCCGCCACACCGGCUUCACGGCUGGUGAGCGCCCAUGGAAGGAGAAACAAAACUCUUCUUUGAAAUGUAGUCAGUCUGAACAAGUUUUUAUAAACGUCAAAACUUUUAACAAUGGAUCUCAGAUCGGAA
rnacentral:misc_RNA from 1 species